UGAGCAAUCUGCCCUUCUCUUCGGAAUAAGCGUUGGAAACGACGUCUAAUGCCGAAUACGACCUCCUUUCGCAUGAUCGGAGGUGGAAAGCUCCGGGCGGAGAAGGAUGAGCUCGCGGUCCG
rnacentral:rRNA from 1 species